GAUGAACGCUGGCGGCGUGCUUAACACAUGCAAGUCGAACGGUGAAGCGCCUUCCUUUUUGGUGGGUGUGGAUGAGUGGACAACGGGUGAGUAACACGAGAGUAACCUGCUCCCUCCUUCUGGAUAACCGCAUGAAAGUGUGGCUAAUACGGGAUAUUCUGGGUCUGUCGCAUGAUGGGUCUGGGACAGAUUUUGUUUCGGUGGGGGAUGGGUUCGCGGCCUAUCAGCUUGUUGGUGGGGUGAUGGCCUACCAAGGCGGUGACGGGUAGCCGGCCUGAGAGGGUGGACGAUCACACAGGGGCGGAGACGCCGCGAAGACUCCGACGGGCAGCAGCAGUGAGGAAUAUUGAACGAUGGGCGGAAGCCUGGUGCAGCGACGCCUGGGGAAGGAUGGAGGCCUGCGCGUUGAGAACCUCUUUCGCCAGAGAAGCAGUCCGGCCUCGUUUGUGGGUGGGUUGACGGUAGCUGGAUAAGAAGCGCCGGCUAACUACGUG
rnacentral:rRNA from 1 species